rnacentral:lncRNA from 1 species
AGGUUGCUCAAACAACUUUGACAUCUGCUAGGGCAUAAAUCAUCUGAUGCCGUCAUAACAAUGCUCAAUUAUCCAUGAAUCCAGUAUCUAAACAUUGGUAUUCUUUGCCUAUUUUUGUUGGACGAUUUCUUGAGUAUAUGCUUUUCUGAUUAUUAACCAUAAAUUACAUAUAUAAGCAGACCUCUCUCGGGUAACUAGCUUUAGUAGGGGUUUGAUGGGAGACUGCAAGGAGGCUCACAGCACAGAUGCGGCGACAUAAACCAGUCCCCUUUUUAAGUAGUUUAAACAUAUCUCUCCAUGUUAAUAUGUACCAUGUGGCAAGUGAUGCAAUAAUUACAUGUUCUUCCCCCUCUACAGACUUGAAAAAUCAUGAAAAUUAAGUAUGUUGGCACAUGUUCACUGGUUAACCCCUCCAGGAUUGUUCAAGGGAAGUUUUAAUAGAUUUGUGCAUUUUCUGGAGUUACUGUUUGAGAGGGAGAUAGGAGGAUCUUUAUUGCAGGUAUAAUUUCUUCUAGCUGAAUUGAGGCGUGGACGAAUCCUCCUAGCUGAACUCGGGAUCUGGAGCGGUAUGAGGCAUGUUACUAAUCAACCAGUCCCUUGGAGGGCAUAGUUGAAGGUAAUUCUAGCAUUGUUGUCUUUUCAUGGUUGGAAGACAAAAGGAUUCAUGUAACAUUUCACUCUUCAUUCUCC